rnacentral:lncRNA from 1 species
AGGGAGCUUAACAGGGUGUGCGUAGGGCAGGCGGAAGGUCUGUACUUGGGAUUCGGGAAUCGAGGUGACAAAGUUGCAGAAGUCCAAUCAGGAGGUGGAAGCAGAGAGGGGAAGGAAUGUGGGGAUUUCCAGGCUGGGACUGACAACCUCGGGGUGCGCGCGCGGCCGGGCGCUCCUCUCCCGGGGAAGGAAGAGGCCCGCUCCAGCGCAGCUCGCCGGUCCGCGCCGCCCGAGCCCGCCCGCGCCCGCGCCCGCCCGCUACUCGGCCCUGCACCCGGUCCCGGCCCGUCCUCACCUCAGGCCGCGGCGCCUCGCUCUUCUGCGACUCCACGGCUGACUCUCCGUCGGCGCCAGGCCGGACCAGACCCAAGACGUCAGGUGGGCGAGCCUGGCAGCCCCCCUACUCAGCCGGCCGCAAGACGACUUCCCGGGCCUCUGGGCUGUCGGCCCCGGUGCCGGACAGCUCGCGGCUCCCUUCCCCAGGACGCGACGCGCCGAUCUUCUACCGCGACGGGGCGCUGCGUCCCCCUAACCCCGCCCCGCGGCGCCCCCUCCAUACCCCGCCCCCAGAGUCGGGGCCCGGGUUCUGAUUGGUCCUUACGAGUCCGGGUACCCCCAGGCAUUGGCCCAGCGGCUGCUCCACGACGAGGGGGCGGGACUCCGGGCGGCUGCGAUUCCCGUAACGCUGCUCCCGGCGUCCCGGAUUCUGGCGGCUGCGCUCGCGUCGCCUCUCCCAGACGAGAUCGAAGGGUUCCCCCACCUCCCCUUUGCGGGCGGAAGGAGCGGAAUGUUCCAUUUUUCCGUGGAAUAACGGGUCAUGAACCGAAGCCCGGGUGCUGCCCGCCCGCACCUCCCGCCCUCGCUUCUCACCAGGGCGCCCUCGGCUUCCCUUCGCGGCUCCGUCCCGGGCCUUCCCUGAGGAACCCGGGGCCGCGAGGGACAGCGUGUCUCCCUGAGGGACCGGGGAAGCGCGAGAGUCCCGUGGGGAAAGUGAAGGACUCGGUGGCCGAGAUUGUGGCGACAGUGGCGGCGGCGGCGGCUUCGGCCCAGGUUUUAUGUAAAUAA